UGAAGAUACGAGGAAAGCAGACUUGACAAAGUUUUGAUGAGGAAGAAAGAGAAAGUAAAACUUUUUAGAAAAGUGCCCCUCAUUUUAUCCGGCACACAGAAGGCACCCGCUAAAUGGAUGCAGUCACGAAGUAAGUUGCAAAAAAGGUAGUCAUGGCAUAAUGCCGUUCGUGUAUACAGACGUUACCGGUGUGAAACGGCCUGACGUGUUGCGGACACAUGUCAGUUAAACCCGGAUGGAAAUCCAGGCCCGGCCGUUUGCCAGCACUGUGACUUUGGUUAAAGAACUUCUCUGAGCCUCAGUUUCUUCCUCUGAUAAAUAGGGACUAAUUAUGCCUUCCCGGAAGGACUCUUACAAAGGUUAAGUGAGGGUGAUCUCAUGGGGGUGCUGACGUCAUUGUUUCCUAAGGACUUCAGGAGGAGGUGAUGUGACUUGCCCCAGGCAGAGUUAACCUGCCUCAGACUCUGAAGCUCCUAUGGUGAAAAUCUACCAGGAAAAAAAAAAAGGAAACUCUUAUCAUUUGUUUGUUGUCCAAACCGGGAACGAAGUCUAAUGUUCCGAAAUGGGAUGAAUUUUGAAAAGUCCCUUUCGGAAGUUCUGGAAGUACUUUUUCUCCACUCUGGUUUGAUGCUUUGGAAUAUUAAUUUUUUUGGUGGGGCAGUAGGUAGAGGUAGAACCGGUUUUGUAAGACCACCUCCUUCGUCGCUCCAGAUUCCUAGUGUCACCCUGUGUAGAACUUCGCAGUCAGUACUUUUGUCCCAAAUUGAAUCAUUGUCAUCUAUCGUCUUUAAAAUGCCAUUGUCAUUAAAAUCCACUCUUGGAUACAAUUUUCUCAUUUUCACGAGUUUCUCCGAUCCUGAGUUAUUUGGAGUGAAAGUUAACUACCACCGUAUGUUGCAGGUUUUGAGAAUUAAAAAGUGUGAGAAAUUAGCCAUGUUUAAACAAUUAAUGGUGGACCGAUGGGAUUCAUUUUAAUUUUCAACUUGUGAGCCGCGGUCUCUUAUUAUCAGAAGUUACUCGCUUCGUGCUAUAGGAAUCCACUGGUUAUCUCGUUAAAUAUUUAAACUUGUAAUCAGGCUUCUAAAAAAAGGAACGUAGUAUUUUUUUAAGACGCUGAAGCUUUGCCUUGCUAUCAGCUGCCUGUAACCUCUGUUACUCUAAAAGCCAAAGAAGCAGGUAGGUUUCGUUUGGAUCAACUGUCAGCUGGUAGGCCCGUUGGCCACUGUCACGAUGCCAUCAUGGGCUCCGAGGGGCGGUGCUUCUGAGUUCCUGAAAUGUAAGUUAUUGGGCAAGAUAGUGUGACUCUGGGGUUUGGAAGGAGUCCCAGCUCCCUCGCACGUGACUGGAGGGGGCGGAUGUUCGGGAAGGUUGGAAAGCCCACUGGCUGGGUAGUUUUAAUGGUGGCGUCUCUGCCUCUUCUGUCUUGUCUGGACGUGUGAUCUGCAGCAGCAUGAAAUUAAUGCAGGAAUCGAGCCUAAAGCUUUGAUUUAGUGUGGUACUAUAAAUACGAUUGAUGGAAGCAAAUCAUUCUUUUACUUAGCAAAGAUCUUACGUAAAAAAACUACUCUUUAGGAUCAGAUGCGUGUGGUUUUCGGGCGACCUCAGAUGGCAAAUUUACUCUCAUUUAUGGUGCGUUUCAAAAAUUGUAGGGACUCACCGAAAGAAUCAGUAGAUAUUCAUUGUCUUGGAAAGCUUCACACAACGUAUUACCAAUUGAAAAAGACCCAGAUGUAAAAGCAUGCACAUAAGUGGUACAUGCACACAAUACAGAAGGUUCUUAAGAAGCUUUCAAAGAAUUACAAGAGAUUCGUGUUGACUUUAAACAUUUCUUAAUUCCCACACCCACUCUCGGUCACAUGAAAGUAAAAAAAGAUGGAUCACUGGCUUCUUUGUGAAAUAAGUUCUAACAGACUAUUUAAGGACAGAGCUUUUUUUUUUUUUUGAAUACAACUCAUAUGCUGAGUCGUCUCUGUGGCAUCAAGUAUCAGAAUGAUGAAAAACUUUAAUUCAUCAAGAUACUCUAACAUAUCUAGAUAUUUGGUAUUCUAAAGACGUUCUGAAGGCUAAAUGAAAUUUUCCUUUUAUUAGUAACCCCCCUACCUCUAGCUGAUUUUUUUUUUUUUUUUUUUUUUUUUUUUUUUUUAAGACACUCAAAGUGGCUUAGAACUGUGCUUUUCUGGGGAUAUAACAUACAGCAUGGUGACUAUAGCUGACAAUCCUGUAUUGCACAUUUAUAAGCUUUUAAGGUAAUCUCGAAAGUUCUCAUCACAGGAAAAAACCUCUGUAACCUUAUACGGUGACAGGUGUUAACCAGACUUAUUGUGGUGAUCAUUUUGUAAUAUAUACACAUAUUAAGUCAUUAUAUUGUAUGCCUGAAAUAAUAUGUCAUAUGUCAAUUAUACCU